rnacentral:rRNA from 1 species
UGGGGAAUAUUGGACAAUGGGCGAAAGCCUGAUCCAGCCAUGCCGCGUGUGUGAAGAAGGUCUUCGGAUUGUAAAGCACUUUAAGUUGGGAGGAAGGGCAGUAAGCGAAUACCUUGCUGUUUUGACGUUACCGACAGAAGAAGCACCGGCUAACUCUGUGCCAGCAGCCGCGGUAAUACAGAGGGUGCAAGCGUUAAUCGGAAUUACUGGGCGUAAAGCGCGCGUAGGUGGUUCGUUAAGUUGAAUGCGAAAGCCCCGGGCUCAACCUGGGAACUGCAUCCAAAACUGGCGAGCUAGAGUAGGGCAGAGGGUGGUGGAAUUUCCUGUGUAGCGGUGAAAUGCGUAGAUAUAGGAAGGAACACCAGUGGCGAAGGCGACCACCUGGGCUCAUACUGACACUGAGGUGCGAAAGCGUGGGGAGCAAACAGG